rnacentral:lncRNA from 1 species
AGGUGGUGUUGGUGGUUUAUCCAAUUCCGAUGGAUUGCUACCGGAGUUUGGAGAAGCCACUGGAGAAGAAGAGGGUACUAGUGGAGUCGUGCCACGGUCAUAUUUGUGUCUAAGGGCCAAAACUACUACUAUCAGUUUCUGACCAUUUUGGCAAUCGUCGGCAUUGCCACUGAUGAAAAAAAAUGGACCGGAGCGUUCGAAUUUGAAGACGGAAUCACCAUCUGUUAAGGACUGUAUUGGAUUUUUGUUGAUGCAUGAGUAGUAGUCUUCUUUUGUUACAACCAUGACAGAGUUUGAACCCUUUUUGUAUCUGAAAACUGCAUCCAGAAAGAAAACGCAGAUCAAAUAACAGCUCAACUCAUAUGAUGUAUGAUAUUCAAUCCAACCGUUUCUGUAUUUUAACAACAAAAACAGAGAGAGAGAGAGAGAGAGAGAGAGAGAGAGAGACUUACAAAGGGUAUCACUGACUUGAAACCUAUGCCUUUCGGCCCAGUGAUUGAAGUUUUCAGAAGGGUUCACCACCCACCCAUCUUUGCCCCCCACCAAGAACUUGUGUGCUUGGGAAUAACUAACCAAUGCCAUGGAAAUGACAACCAAAACGAUCAAAAACCUUCUAGACUCCAUCGCGAUCGAGCAGAACACCAAAAGCUCUCAACGAGCACACACUUAGUGAGACUUAGCUAAUUUCUAUAUAUACCUAUAGACAGAGCCAGAGAGAAAUUGGAUUGAGUAUACACACUUUAGCUAGCUAUAGCUUCUAAUUCUUCUAUGUAUGUGAGGAGGUACCGUACAAAUAUAUAUAUAUAUAUNNNNNNNNNNNNNNNNNNNNGAGAGAGAGAGAGAGACUAAUUAAGAGAGUGAGGAGGAGGUGACCGUUUAGGGUUUAGGGUUUAGUAAGAGGUGACCGUUUAUUCAUAUAUAACUCAUGAUCUGGUCAAUAUCUAUACGCUGAUCAAAACAGUCGUAGCUAGCUAGAGUCUUAAAUCUAAGCAAUCAGUGCUAGCUGGUUUUCCCAAGUUUAACCGUAGUAACUUAAUUGAGAUAUAUCAAGCUAAACGGUCAAUGCAUUAUAUACGGUCAAACAAGAUAUAAUGCACUUGAUUUUGCGUGUUACUAUAUAUUAACGUAUUCUUGAUCAUUUCCAUGAGCAUGCAUGUCAUUCUUAUAUCUAGCUUAGAUAUCAACUACAAUAUAUAACCCAGGAUGGAAUCAAUUAAUGUACUAGGUGAAUCUUCAAGCUAGUUAAGUAUAACUAGCCUAGCCUUCUAAUAAUUACGAUGUUUAGGUUGAUUGUUCUUUUUGAAUUGCUAGAUUGAGAUUCACACACACACAAACACACACACACACACACACUUUAGUCUUAACAUGUACGAUUAGAAGAAAUUUCUUUAAAGUCGUGAAAAACCAUACAGAUAGCCAUGGAUACAUAUAAAUGCAUGCGUUGCAUAUAUAUGUCUUUACGUACUUUUGAUUCCCUCGGAUAUAUUUUCUGUAAACCUUAAAGUUUUAACAAAAUGGGGUUAUGAGUUUGCUUGUUUAAUUUCUCUGAUAAUGCUUAGGUGAACAAGCCAACUCUUCAGUUAUUAAUUGCAGAACAUUGUAAUUAAGCAAAAAGGAGUCGGGUAUUCUUUCGUUACUUAAAAGUCAUCGAAUAUGCUCACAGGACAAUAAUAAAGCUUUGUAACACAUCCAUAUCUUUUAGAAAAAAAAAAAACAAACGCAUCUAUAAGUACAUCAGUAACAAGAAGGAGCUAAGAGACAAAGCAUUAUCAGAGAUGACUAGCUACAAGAAACUCAUCAAGCACUUUCUUCAAAAAAAACUCAUCAAGCACUUGAGCAUAUUAUUGCUGAGAAAAGUCCUCUCUUAGCCAAGAUUGUCGUUCUUCCGACGGACUCGUAAUAUGAAUUCGAAGGACUUGCACUAUAUGUACUGAGUUACUGUUUGUUAUCUUAACUGAACGUCACAAUGUCCGUUUGUGCAAUAGGUUAGGGAGAUAUGAUGAACGGUGGCUUCAGCAAACAAGAACUAGAGGAGAGGUUGGCUAGAGCUCAAGUCAUAUUAUUUGAAGUAGUCUGGUGCAAAACAAAGGAGUACUGUCCGGCAAAUUAAGCAGGACGGUUGACUCAUUAGAAGUAAAAUGCUGACUAUCAGUUUCAGAUUAAAUUAGAGCAGUUCAUGUACUUGUGUGAUAUCUUUGAGACUCUAGAUCAUCCUCUGGAUGGUAUUACAUUAAUUUUGGUUCUUGUAUUUGAGAUGAAGUUUCGGUGUGUAGUGAAAUUAUCAACCAAUAUCAUGUUUUUUUUUUGUAGUAAUUAAAUUUGUGUUUGGCUUAUGGUUCUUGUUAAAAAGUCCCAAUAGUUUUUUUUUCAAUGAAUCGACAUAAUUAUCAAAAUGAAGAUGACUUGGUUUGAAAAUAUAUUCAAGCCUUCUUGAAAUCAAAAUUUGCAAAAUUUUUAUUCUUUUGCUUACAAAUGAACAUAAGAGCAAGAUUCUACUCAUGGAAAAAAAUUGAGAAAUUAUUCUCAGUCCGAGUUCAACUAAUGAUGGGUGAGUUUCUUUCUAAAGCUCAAGGACAUCAAUGGUUGACAAACAUCAACAGACCAAUACUGAUAUUCAUGGAAAUUCAUAGCAACAUAUUUGAAGUCUUGAAAAACAACAACAUAUAGACUAUAUUAAUAACAUCCGAGAAACAAACCUAAUACAGAACACUGGGAAGCCCCCAAACUCUACAAACUCUCACUCCAUGGUUUGCGUAGUGCAUCAAAUCACUCCAGACAUAGACAAACCAUAGAGCAGAAUCCAUUUCCUGCACGCUAACUUCCCUGCCAGAAGAAACAACACAAGCCUAAAAGCUGAAAUAACAACAAAUUUUACGGUAGACAUUGAUAUAUUGUACCUAGCAUGCAACCCACAAGAAGGUUGGUACUAAUAUAUUCUUGCCUAGCGAAACAACAAUUACGGUUUAGUCUUACACAGGCAACAACUGGUGACAUAAUACAAAUUCCCAAAAUGAUCUAGAAGCUAAUAGCUGUUAGACCUUCCUGCAGCUGAUUUUGAACUACAUUUAUAUAGUUUACAUGCUGCUUUGCUUGCUUAAACACGAUGCCUACUGUUUCGGGCUUUGUCGAGCACCCUUUUCCCAUACAGAUGGCUGUGCAGAUGAGGGUAAUUGCUCCGAAUGAUGUUUACAAGAGCAUUGUGAACAGAUCCCUGCCAGAGAUGGGUGAAAAAGAAAAGGCAAAGAGUCAUUAUUGUUCAUGUACCAAUAUACUGGAAUCAAGUUAAGAAAAGAUGCGAACAAAAAUACUUGAAACUUAGCUAUGUAAAGGACUAGAUUGUAUCUGUCCUAAAAGAAAAAAAUAGGUAAUUACAUGAAGAUGAAGUUUCGUGAUAGUUCUCAUUUAUAUUGAUGUAGGGUUGAUAAUCAUGUUUAUCUCAAUCUAGUAAAUCCACAUGAUUAAUUACAUCUACAUGAUAUGUUGAACACCAAUACUUCUUUCCUAGGUUUAUAUAUGUAAACUGAAAGCUAAAGUAAAAAAGCUGACAGUAUAAAAUAUCAAGCAUUCUGUUAAAAGAACAUUUUCAAGAGAUGAAAUAGAUAGCUACGAUAGUUCAAUCUCUUAAUCAAUCAGGACGAAGGAGUGAGAUUAGAGACAGUGCAGAAAUCCUUCAGGGAUGAUGGUGUUACCUUGGAUACUUGAAGAGCAGACUGAGCAACAUAAUUCCCAUAUGGAUCUUGAAGAACAUUCAGAAACUCAGAACUAUUCAUCAUCUCGUUGAUAAUCAUGUUGGCAUUUUCUUCUCCACCCUCUUUCAGGACUUUCUCCACGACAUUACUUCCAUACUUGUUCAUCGAUAGAUUAACAAAACAGCCCUGAAGCUGACCUAAUAAGUCUGUUGUUACACGAGGUAUAUUUAGUCCAAUUACGUGUUGCACAACAUAGUUCCUGUAAAGAAAAAAAGAUUAAAUGAUUUCCGAGAGAUGUUGUAGCAUUAUAUAUGUUUUUGCUGAUAACUUUGUUGUUAGCCACCUAUAAUUAUUGAUCCUAUUUCUGAACCUCUCAUAUCCAUCAAGUAUAUAGUUUUUUCAUGCCAUAGAUAUUGUCUCUCAAAAUAAUAGCUACAGUAUAGGAAACCCAAAAAUACUAAAAGCUAAAUGUCACACCCUUGAAACAUGAUAGAAAAGAAACACCUCAAGCGACAUAAUUUUCUUAGGUUUCUCACUAGCAUAACCAUGUAAACAUUACAUGGAGUUGGGAGUCUCUCUCUACCAAUGACAAGAAUGACUUUAACAUAAUAAAACGUGAUAUCAUGCACUCGAAUAAGAGAUAUAUACGUUCAAUAAAAUGGUUAGAAUGUGAUGAUUCAAAUAAAUUGAGUGUCAGAAAGCUAGAGUGUGAAGGACAAACCCAAAUUCAUCGUCGGAGAGGACUCGAGCAUGCUCAGUUAUUUCAGCCAGAAGACGCUCCUUAGUUUCAGAAUAAUAAGCAUAAUCCAGACUUGUUUGCACCACGACACAACCAAAUCUGUCUUUUGCUAGCGCAAGGCAAUUAUCUAGCACUAAUUCCAGAACACCCUACAAAACAUGAUAGAGAAUUUUCCCAGUGAAUUUUAUCUUUCGUAAUUGUCAUGUGGCUGGCUGUUACUGAGUGAACAUGAUUGAUGUUACAUUUGGUGUAUAACCUGGUGUAUCCCAAAGACAUUUCUGUACAUAGUUAUGUAUAAAAGCAGGUAGAAUUCUACUAGUUCCUUCGAUAAUUUUGUAACAUCAUUUAGGAGCAAUGCUGAUUACCUUGGUGCAGUCAGGAGAGAAAUUCUUCAAGCAAACUUGAAUCACAUAAUGACCAGGCUGCGUUUUGCUCAGCGGAAAAGUGAUUCGCUUCAGAAACCUCGUAAAUAAGGACUGUUGCUCUCGAGUUUCAACCCUCUCCAGCAACUUCUGCAUGGCUCGGCUACUGCAGCAUAUCAACAACAAUACUAAUUAAACAUGCACCCACACUAACCAUUAGAAUCUACAUAAAAAGCCAUUGAAAGUACUGAUGGCCGGGACCAAUGCUUUAACAGACAUGCAUACACAUCAAUCAAAGCACAAAUAUGACAAAGAGGCAGAGCAGCUUAUUUUGGCGGGCAAUGGCACCAGAAGUGAAUGAAGUAUGAAAUAACAAAAAAUAUUAAAUAGACGCCUGCACAAAGUAAAAGGUUUCCCAGCUUCCAAUAAUAACAUUAAUCGUAACAGUUGGUUCUUAAACACUAACAUUAUAUUGUUCUACAACAAAAUAUAAAAAUAGAUGUGAGCUCACUACAAAAACAGCAUGUCAAAGCCGUAUUUUCAUCACAGGAUACUGAACAAGAACGAUACAAUAUUGGAGUAUCAGAAGAGAUAAGACACCUACAGCUAGCACAUUCUUGACGUUGAGAGUGUAUCCUACAGUCAUUUGAAGACAGACACAUACAAAUCUAGUGCAGGUUAAGUACCGUAGCUAGACCAUUCUUAGAUCUAUGCACAUUUAAUCUAGGCGGAUCGCAUUGUCAUGGCAAGAUCAAACAAAAAUAACAGCAUAAAACCCAAAAUUCUCAUGACAAAUCAUAUCAAGCAAUAUUCUCUCUAAUAAGUAAUAACCAACUGAAUGAAGAACUGAUUCACAACCCCGCCCAAGGAAUUGUCUGAUAUGUGUCAAAAAAGGUUCUCAUAGAAACUAAUCCUACGAAUGAUACUAGUUGUGUUAAUUCGUCGAACUCUACAUAUAAAAAGAAAUCUGCAGCUCGGAAGGAUUAAUGUAGCAUAAUAGUGAUCAGGGAAGUUCUGAAAAUAAUAUGUUUCUGCAAUUUAGCAAGCAAACUCACAGCAAAUGUCACAGCAUUAUCAAUAAAAAAAAAUAAGGGAAAUUUAUUUGAACGUAUAUAUCCAGUAUGAGAUAGAUAUAGAACGGUACCCAUGCUGAUCAGUGCACAUAUCUUUGAGUUUCCUCUCAUCACUCAGGAUCAAAUCAAACAUUCUUGUCCGUCCUUCUCUGUUAGUCCCUUCCACAAGUUUCUGAAUAAAUUCAGUCCCAAACUGAUCUACCAUUAGCUCGCUCAAAUGAUCAUGAUCCUCAUUCAUAACUUCAUUAAAAAUCAUCUCAAUCUCUUCCUUCUUACCCUCAUCAAUCUUUUUCUGUAAAAACCGACAUCCUACAUGGUCUUUGGCCACAAAAGUAAUUUGUCCCCUCAACUCUUCCAAAGGGACAGCGUAAUAACUUGGUGUAUGCUGCCGAGUAGACCCAUUGCCAAGCCUCUGAUCUUUGGUGGACAUCAAGUUCAGGCCUUGGCCCCUCUCUUCUUGCCUGAAACGUUGUCUUCCAGCCCCAGUAGCAAACCUUGAUCCCCUGUUAGCCCCAUUCCGCUGAGAAGUAGAACUAGACCUAUUUUGAUUAGAUCCAUAUCCAAAUUGAUCACCAUAAUUCGAUUGACAACUACUCCUGUUAUUGCUGCUAUUCCGGUUCCGGUUCCAACUAUGGGGAUUGAGUAUUCCAUUGUUAGUAGCAGUAUUGAGAUUUGAAUUCCUCAUGUAUUGCUGAGCCAUCAAGAAAGCACAUUGGUUUAACCUCUGCAGAUAAUAUUCCUGCUCUAGAAUACUGAAGUCACCAUUGCCUACAAUUGUAGAGCUAGGCAUAAAGUUGUUAGGUACUCUUUGAUUGGAUGUUGGGACUGAACUGCCACUAUUAGAUAUGCUCAGCCGAUUGAAAUAAGCUGCGAGUUGAUCAUGAUGCAUAGUCUGAUCCGCAGAAAAAUCAUGAGAACCUCCCCCACCUGUUCCAAAUCCCAAGGUCGAAAAACCAUUAUUACUGUUAAAUCCCAAUGUCGAAAACACAUUAGUAUUGCUCAUCAGAUUGUUGGUACUGUUGUUUGCGAGAGGGAGGAGAUGAUCAAAGUUGGGAUUAGUGUUUUGAUGGUAGGGAGGGUUUUGCAACAUUGGUGGGUUUUGAAGAACGAGAUUGGGCAACAUGGGAUUCCAAUACAUAUGAUUUUCAGAGGGAUGAAGAGGAUUUUGACAGGGAUGGUAUUCAAGAAAAGAAUUGGUUGAAUCGACACGGUGAUUCUGACCGUUCUGAUUUUCCGGUAAGGCUCCAGUCUUAAACCACUGAUGAAGCUGUGCAUAAUCCUCCCAUCCUGUCUUCUUUCCCAUAUCUUCUCUCUUCCUCUCCAUUGAUAUCUCUGUAACCGAUCCCAAAACAAUAAAAGAAAGUGAUUAGAUGAACGGAGGGUCUUAAAUACGGAAUUAAAAGAGAGGAUGAAGGGUUUACGGAUUUAGAGAUGUAGUGGAGUUCUGUAACACAAGCCGUAGAGAGAUAGGGUUUAAAGGUUGUCAAAACAACUUUUGGAAUGUAUUUAUAUUGAGAAUAAAUGAAAAAUAUUUAGCAUUUAUGGAAAAGAUUUACUGGAUCAGAGAAUGCGAAGUGUUAGAGUAAUAUAAGGAAUGUAUUUAGCCAACAACUUUUAGGGUUCUGGACUCUGGAGACAGAGGGUGUGUUUAGGGUUUUAGAAAGUGAGCCACAGUUAGCUUCCAUCAUGCAAAUACAGAUUGACUUAUUUGAAAUUUAUUUAAGAUAAAUAUGAGAGCCUUUGGCGUAUAUAACUUCCUAAACCCUAUUACCUGCUUGGAUUAGGCGAUGUAGGUCAACAAUGUUUAAGGUUCCGCUCGGUAUUGAAACUUAAUCGACCUUUCGGGGAGAAAUUCCUCCUCCCUUUGAACUUUUACGUUCCUCUUCCAGCAAGAGCUUCCCACAUUCAUCUCGGAACAAAAGCAAUGUCUCCGGCCUUCACCUUGUUUCCGACAGUUGUGUCAUUAUCAUGACUUUUGCUGCUUGAACUACUAGGACCAAAAGGAGGGCACCCAUCUGUAUGGCAUGAUGCUGCAAACACAUGAUCAUGUUGUUUUUCAUCAUCCUCAAGGAUACUCUUCACUGCUACAGGACGACUGUUCUUUAGAUACAUUCCUUCAAUCUCAAAUUCAUCUUUUGCUAUGCAAGCUGGAUUAGAUCUCUCUAGCUGACAUUUUCCUCUCUUCCUUAAUUUCAAUCAUACUACUUUCGGAUUUGUGGUCGCGUCCUUUCUUCCAUGGACAAUUUGAUGAAGCCAUCAAGCCCAACACAACCACCUUUUUGAUUGUAAGUCGCGAGCUUUCAAAAUUUUGUUCAUGCAGAUGAUUGGAAUAAUGAGAUAUAUUAGAAGGCUUCUCCCUGAUUUUGCCUCUCAGUUUUAUGAUAAUUUGAUCAUAAAACUUUUGUGUUAAGCUGAGAAUGCCCAACUAAAGCAAGUAUUCAACUGUUUAGUAAUAUCUAAACUCUCUGUGCAGGGCUUCUGUCAUAGGGGCUUCAGCUGGUGAAGGGAUCUGUGGUACUUGUUAUGGACUUGUGUAUAUUUGGGAAUUAUCUUCAGGAACUAAGCUCGGCACCAUGCAUCAUUCUAAAGGCCAUUGUUCACCAUAAAGAAAAGUAGAUGCGAGAAACUGCUAGUAUUCAAAUCAUUUGACAGCAGCUUUCAUUCCCCAAGAGUUGAUUUACUUAUUGUAUCAGGUGGUGGUGUUUCAUGUACAUCUACUGAUGAUUCAAGGUCAGGUGCCGUGGCCAUAGCCGGGGACAAUCAAGCGCCGUUUUGUCUGCCCUCCAGAAAAUAUUCUGUAAUCUGACAUGCAAACAAGUUAUUUUCUCUCUUGCCUGUGAAAUUAUUUCUAGCUCUGAACUUUCUGCCCUGUUGGUUGUUGCCAGUGAGUAUUCUUAGCUAACAAGAUUUGAAUUUCUGACUAGAACUGUUACUGUAUGUAUCUGCCAAAAUCAGAUUCUCACUCUGACACUAAACAAUGCAACCAUUCUUGGAUGCGUAGUGCUACAUAUCACAAUUUUUUUUACCAAAUAUGAAUACAAAAUGAGGUGGCAUCUACCACAUGGAUUUUUGUAACCAUAUUUAGCUAUUUAUGAAACACAAUUAUUUUCAUUUUGAUACUUUAUAGGACAUAAGCCCUUCAUUCUUUAAAAAAAAAAAAAAAAAAAAAACAACACCGUAAACCCUAAUUUACCAAAUCUCAUCCUCAUCUUCUGGUUUCUUCUUACAUCUCUUCACCAAUUGUCAAAUUUGAGACAAAUUGAGAAGAGUUAGGCACAGGUAUUGGGCUUAUGAUCAUUGCCCCUGAAAUCUCAUCUUCAUCUUCCGCAAUAUAGAUUGUAUAAUUCAUUCAUAGCUAUUAGUCUCUUUAAUUUCAUGAUGCUAGUAGACUAACACAAUUCACCACUAAUCAUGAAUUUCUUCUAAAACGCCAAUUCUAUUUGCCAUUAUAGGAUUUCUACAAUCUAAAUUGAUCGAAGUAUCAAUUAAAUUUUAUUCAAAAGAAAAAAAAAAGUAUCAUAAAGCUUCAAAUUGGAGGAAUAUCAUCACUUCGAGCUCUCUUUCCCAUCAGAAAGAGGGUUAAGUCAGCAUAGAUCUCUUCACUCCGAUAACCGGAUUAUAGACUGCCGCCGGAAUCUGAAUCACCGGUAGGCCCUCUCUAAGCCCUUUCCCAAUGAUGGCAGCAAGGUCGGAGCUGGAGACUUGAACAAAGCCAAUUGCCUUGCCAACUCUGAGGCCGAAACACCAGGGAUGGAGAAGAUACUCCCCGAUAGCGAUGACGACGAACUCGGACUCGGAGCCGAGAGAACUCCACCUGAGAAGGGAUUCACCAAAGCAGGAAGAGGAUUCAAGCGAACCCUAUCUAACCCUAAACCCUGCCGAAAGCUAGGGUUAGGGUUUUUGAUAUCAGGAGAACGUCCAAACCCUAGAAUAUCUCUCUCCACCUCUACCCCAGCACCAAACUAAUCUUCUGUACCUUCGUCACAUCCGGUGGACCACCGCACCCCUGAGAUAGACGCUCCAACAGUCCAUAAACUCGACAAAACCCUACCACUCUUUCAUACUUGAAAGAGAGCAUGACCGUCGCCUUUCGAUCACCCAAAUCAAAUUCAAAAGGCAUAAGAGGGAAUGCCUCCCUCACCAGAUCUGAUAUAUCAUGGAUGAGCCAAACCUUGGCCUGAAUCCCACAUCGCAAACCGAUCUUGUCCGGAAACAACACCUUCCCUAAGAGAUCCCCAACCUUCCCUGCAGCUUCCCCAAGGCAGCCAGAGUCCGUGAAAUCACGCCGGGAGUGGUCGGACUGUCCUCACAAAUGGUGAGAGUGGUGGCGAAAUGGGUUGAAACCUCAUCAGUCAUGGUGAGCAAACGAGGAAUGGGUGCUGAGCGGCAGAGAAUAAUGAAACCCUAGGGGAGCAGAAAACCCUAGCAGCACCCUCUAACUUUUCUGCUUGUUGUGUAAGUAUAUAUGCUGCAAAUUGAUGUUGUAGUAGCAAAUGAAUGAUUGAUAAUGCAUCAAACUUGAUAGCUCAUGAACAAUUGGAGCAUUGUCAUUUCAUUAUUCUGGAAACUCUAAGUUCUAGAUACUUUUAUAAUAAAUAUUUUUGUUUGUUGUUUUCAUUUUAGAUCAAAAUUAAUGUAUUAGGUAGACAUGUUGGAAAUUACUAGGAUUAAAAUGAAUGAAGUGGCACAUGCCACAUCGAUCACUUGGUAGAUAUAGGUUUUUUGUAUAAUUUUUUAAUGUGUCUUUAGCAUUUUCUUUCUUGGAUAUUAUCACCACCCAUAUCUGUUAUGGUUGUAAUCUAAGAUAUUAUUAUAUAAAGUUUACUUUUUUCAAAAAAAGAAAAAACAAAAAGGUGAUAAGUUUGAUGAUAUGGGACAAGAAUGUGGUCAGUUUGCAACCAUUUUGAUUUUCAUUGUCGGUGUUACCAACCUUUACUGUACAUUUAUUUUUUUCACUAAACCGGUCACAUUAUAUGUCUCCCUAACUGAUUUGAUUGUUAUCCGUAAAAAUAUGUUUUUCAAGAGAAAUGGCGGUUUACUGUUAGAGCAACAAUUAUAGUUUGCUAAAAUUAGUGGUGCCAGGAUCAACCUCUUUAAAUCAGAAGAAUUAGAGAAGUUCACUGACAAUUUUAAUAUUAAUAGAAUUCUUGGACAUGAAACUAUGUAUAAAGGGAUGUUGAAGGAUGGAAGAAUUGUUGCUGUGAAGAAAUCCAAAUUGGUAGAUGGAAGCAAACUUGCAGAAUUCAUCAAUGAGGUUGUCAUUUUUUCAAAAAUCAGACAUCGGAAUGUGGUUAAAUUGUUGGGAUGCUGAGAUUGAAGUUCCUCUUUUAGUGUAUGAAUUCAUAGCAAAUUAAACACUUCUCCGGUAUAUACAUGAGAAGAAUGAAGAAUUUCCACUUACAUGGAAAAUGCGCUUACGUAUUGCCACUGAAAUAGCUAGAGCUCUCUCCUAUUUACAUUUUACAGCUUCAUGCCCCAUUUAUCAUAGAGACAUUAAGUCCACCAACAGUCUCUUGGAUGAAAAAUACAAAGCUAAAAUUGCUGACUUUGGAAUAUCCAGAUCAGUUGCCAACUUACCAUCGACCAAAUUUACCUGACGACACUUGUACAUUCAGUUACUUGGACCCUGAGUACUUCGAGAAAAUUUACAGAGAAAAGUGAUGUCUACAGCUUCGGAGUUGUCCUUACUGAGCUCUUAACAGGGUAGAAACCUGUUUCUGCAAUAAAUUAAAGUGUUAAAGUGAGAAGAAGAGUACCAUAGUCUUGUUGCAUGUUUCAUUAUAUUGAUGCAAGAAAAUCGUUUAUUUGAGAUUGUUGAUGCACAUGUUCUAGAGGAUGGUUCUAAAACUACUAGAAAACCUCACGAAUAGAUGUUUUGAUUUGAAUGGAAAGAGGCGCCCUACUAUGAAAGAGGUCGCAACUGAGUUAGAAUUCAUCCAUGCAAAUGUCAAAGACAACUUUCAUUACUGAAUAGUGUGUUGAUGUCAUAAUUUGGUUCGACAACGAAACUUGACUUUUCAUUUUUCAACCCAUUCCAAGGCCUAAGAGCUUCAACCCUCAAGCUCUCUCUAGGAUGUCCAAUAGUAGCCAUCAGGCCUGUCUCCUAAGCAUGCCUGAGAGUGAUCCAAGGAAGAAUGUGUCGUAGAUGUGUGACACGUACGUAUCCUGAUCGACCUUCCACCAACUCUAUCAGAUCACAUGGGGUCAGUCACCUACUUUGUUAGAUCGACCAUCCCUUGAAGUGUCAAUUUGUCAUACCCAUCCCUUGCCCAUACCUCCCUUUCCACCUUACCAAUCUCUUCUCUUAUAAAUUCUAGCCUUUCAAGGCCGAAGGAGAGAGUUCAUUUUUCUCUUUUCUUACCCAUUAUAACUACACAACUUCUUCAUUUCUCACUUCUCUCUCUAGAAACAAUGCAAAAGUGCACAGAAGAGACUAUCUCUUCUUUCCAUCACUAUGCAAAAUGCAUAGUCUCUGAUUUGCCACUUACAACGCUGAUAUGCCAACUCAUUGGGCACUUCUCUUUCUUCAUUUAUAUUAUUCAAACACUUUACUGACUUAGGCGUCAGAGAGUGUUUGGCUUGCCUUAGGUUGGUCCUCCGAUAACCUCCUAGCUCACAUGUCAACAGGUCAUUCAAUGACACUCCACCAACAUGAGGAAGAGAAGGCCCAAGUUAAGUGGCGGAUGUCCAACGCCAAGAAGAAGGCGAGGAAGCUAGCUCACCUUCAAGAGAAUAAAGUCCACCAAAAGAGAGGAUGAAGCCCAUCACAAAGUAGAGUAUGAAGGCUCAAUAUCAACUGAAGGAAGUCCACCAAAAGAGUGGAGGAAGUCCUCCGAUGAAGUGGAGGAAGCUAGCUCACUUUCAAGGAAAAGAAGCCCACCACGAAGUGAUACAUGAAGUCUCAACAUCAGACAAAGGAAGUCCACUAAAAGAGUGGAUAAAGCCUACCACGAAGUAUAGCAUGAAGGCUCAACAUCAGCCAAAUGAAGUUCACCAAAGGAGUGGAGGAAAUCCACGUACCAAAGGAGUGGAGGAAGUCCACCAAUGAAGUGGAGAAAGCUAACUCACCUUCAAGGAAAGGAAGUCCACCACGAAAUGGUACGUGAAAGCUCAACAUCAACUGAAAGAAGUCCACCAAAAGAGUGGAUGAAGCCCACCACGAAGUGAAGCAUGAAGGCUCAACAUGUCACACCCUAACCAUAGGGUAUGACUAAUAUGAUGGAUUAAGUUGAAAACAUAGAAGCUGCAAAUUUUAUAUAUAUAUAUAUAUAUAUAUUUAUAUGAAGGAAGAACUUUUAUAUAGAAUUAAGAAGUAGACACUAAAAUUGCGAAGGGAGAACCUUUUUGUUAAAACCAACUAAUUGAAGAAUCUUUGAUUGAAGAAUCACUCUAUUAACAACAUUUGGCAAGAACUUGAGUAAUAAACAUCUCAUGAAAUACAACUACACUUUCUUUUCCAAAAUUUGUAAAACUGUACAGUACUAAUGCAUACAUGUACGUAGAAACCUCCCAAACAACUUUAAUGCUUUGUCUGUUGCCUUCAAAUAUACAAAAUGAAUAGUAAAAAUCAGCUAAGAGAAAGGUUAGAUAAAACUUUACAUUUUGCUCAAUACAAUAUAUAGUUGAAUUUCAAAACCAUCCAUCACAUAUGGUAUCAAAAUCUCUACCAGGUUAUCCUUCAUAAUACUUGGUGGUUCCACAACUUUUGUAAAUAGCAAACUAAACUUUUGCUUUCACAUUUCACAACACAGCAAUGUAUUUGAGCAUAAUGAACAAAAGCACUUGAACAAGGAGCCCAGCAUAGUAGGACACCAUCACAUAUAUUCAACCAAGUACACUUCAACUCAAAAGCUCCAUAAUAUCAAUAACUUGUCCACUCAAGGAAUUCUUUCCUGAAAACAUAACAUGAAUAUAGGGAAUGAGCUUCACAAGCUCAGUAGGUACGACAAAAAAAAUCUUUAUAACAAAUACUCUAAUUCAAUAUGCACUUAGAACAUGAAAGGCAUGAACAUGGUUGAAGAUUAAAUAAGAUAACCAAAGAAGUGAGAUUAAACCCCAAUAAUUGUUGCUACAUUUGCAAGAGAGAAAAUCAGAAGUCCGGUAGUAGAAUAAAUGAACUUGACUUAAAGAUAACAUUGGAAUUGCAAAUAUCAAACUUUACCAAGUAUAUAUAACAAGCAUCAACAAUAUACACGAACGAAGUAGAAGAAGGCUAAUCAUAAGGAUAACUUGACAACAAGAUUAACAAAUAAGAAUACAUGAACCAACGGAAGUGUCGAUAGGCAUACUCAUGAUACUCAUAGAACUUUCAUUCACACGAAUGUAGCAAAUCCUUAAGAUUCCGGUUAGAGCCCACCGCCCAGCUAUACCACCGAGCAAACCCCACACAUGCGGUACCUUGAUUAGGUUUGGGGUUAAACAACCCAAGGGAGGCACAAUCCCUACUCAAACAAUUCAUUGGGCCUAACCAAACAGAACAUUUGAAAUCCAAUCGUUUCUUUCUAGGAAGUUUCACUUUCCAAACCAACUGAUCAAACAAGGAUUUCAGAAACAAACUUGAAAUCCCUUUUCAGAAAGUAACAAGAUACUGCCCAUAAAUGGUGCAAAAGCAUAGACCUCUUGUUUUUCAACGACAUAACAGAGAAAUCUUUAUGUGAAGACCAAAUGGGCAGUUACAAGUAGGUUUAGAACAAUAAGGUAGAGAAACUUGAGUUCAGAUGAAAUGAAGAAAUCAUCAAAGAAUGAGAGCUUGUUUCCAAGUAAAUUCAAACAGACAUAUCAGAAGAAUCAGUUUUCAAUAGCAACUGGACAUGAGGUAAAUAUCAAUACAUGGAUUUGAAAGCCAGCAACAAAGACUUGGGUUUUCAAACUGUUGGACUAAUCAACAACAAAGACGAUAACAUAUAAAGAACUUGACCAACAAUGAACCAGCAAUGAGCACAUACUCCAACUAAAGAUCCAAGCAUUGGAUUAUUCCAUAAACAGAAUUACGAACACUUUCAAACAACGAUCAAGUGUUAAGAAAUGAACUCAAAACAACAGUAUAGUUUACCAUCAAUCAGUUAUCUCUCAAGGACUAGCUCCAUAGCAAAGCUGAAAGAUCCAAUAUGAAUAAAAAGAACAACAGCUAUGUUUGAUAGUCUGUUGAAGGACCAAAUCAAAUUUUCGGAACACAAUUAAUACUCAAAAGGAAUAUUUUAUCAGUAAAGAAAUCAACAUUUGAACAGCAGAAACAGACAUGUUAUAUAUAUACUGGGGGUCAAGAACAAUAAUAUCAAAAGCUUUGUACGGAUCAAUUAAGAACACAAACAGACAACGAUAAAAAGAUAAGAAGUAGACUCAAAUGCAACCAUAUAAAGCUCUCUUUGGAGACCAAAACAGGUACUACAAUACAAGGUAUGUAUAGCUCAGGUUUUCAAUACCAAUACUUUUGAUGAUAUAAGAUUUAAGAAGUCAUGGCUGCAAUUUGCAAGACAUGAAGGGAUUUAUUUAAGAUGGAAAGACAAAAUCUGUUGCACAAAUACUAGAUUAUAUCAAGAUUAAAGCAUCUCAAUACAAAGAUACUUUCUAUAAAGAACAAGUUAAUAACUUUGCAUUCAUACCAUCGUAUUGAAAAGGAAUUAAGGUUCCAGAGAAGUAUAUCAAUAAGAACUCAAUAAACUCACAGAUUGACAAGUGAACAAAGCUUGUCAAGUUGCAAUUAAGAACAAUCGCAUAGGCAAUAUUCCAACACAAUCACACCAAAUACAUAUCAAACUAGAAUCAAAGCUAUAAAGAAAAGUUUGUUUUUCCUACCUCAAAUCAUAGCAAGCAGCAACCAACAUCUCCACAAGUAAACUCCAAUCACGCAAGCACUCAAAUCAUACGAUAGCAAUCUAGUAUCAAACCGAACACCCAGCUUGCACCAAUCAUACUCCAAUUUAUUGGGUAAUAGCUAAAACAAGAACUAGUUUGAGAUAGAGGGUAUGAAACUUACAGAAAUCAAGCUUUGACUAGAUGAAGAAAUAUGAGAUUCAUAUGUAAUCAUCCCUUGAAAGCUAAGCAGCCUCUGAAGGUGAACGAAAUUAUGAAAGUCGUUUAUGGAACAAGACAGAAGAGAAAGAGAAAAGGAUGAAGGACUGGGUUGAUCUGUUGGGAACCAAAGCACAAGAGAAGAGGAAGAGGGACUGGGUUUAUGAUCAAGGAAAAAAUAGAAAGCAAAGGCAAACAAAUUGAUAGCACGUGGACUUCUCUAGAUGAUCACUAGAGGCUUCUACACAUCCCAUCAAAUAUUUUUAGUAAGAAAAUAUUAUUUAAUCUAGAGGUAAAAAUAUCAGACUAGGUUUUUAUUACUAAUAGUGCACAAUAAACCAAAACCAAAUCCUAAUCAAAGAACAAAACACAUAAAACAGAAAGACAAAAGAAACAAUUCAAUAAAUAAACCCAAUUAAAAAUUAAGAUCAUUACACAACAUCAGCUAAAUGAAGUCCACCAAAGGUGUGGAGGAAGUCCACCAAUGAGGUGGAGGAAGCUAGCUAGCUCACCUUCAAAGAGAGGAAGCUCACCACGAAGUGGUACGUGAAAGCCCAACAUCAGUCGGAUGAAGUCCGAGACAGGACUACCAGUUUUCCUAACAAAGAAGUGGAUGCAGCCCCACCAAAUGAGUGGAGGAAGCUCACUAAUUAGUAAAGGAAGUCCGGGAGGAGACUAGCUACUGGUUCUCUCGACAAAGGAGAGGAUGAAGCUUACCAUUAAGAGGAGUGUGAAUGCUCAACAUCGCCAGAAGAAAGUCUAAGAUCAAGAAUCUAGUCUUAUUCAAGGAAGUCGAAUGCACAGGCUCAUCAAUGUCAUACCUCAAGUCACAUGCGGUGGACUACCAAGACGCGGUACAUGGCCUCCGUGACAUAUUUUCAGUCACCAGAGAUAGAUGACCAAAACCAUGGAAAUAGUCAAACUAACCGAAGGGCGAAGAUAUGCCCACUACAAGAGAAUUAAUCCCACCAUUUUACACAUUGGAAUUCAAUGGAAAUCUAGUUGACCUGUUGGUGCAUGCUAAAAAACGACAUCAACACAAUGUUAUGAUGUUGUUGAACUUCCAUGUCAAGAUAGAUGAAGUGAGCAUGCCGAAAGUUGUUUUAAGUUCAAUCGAUGAAGGGUCAGUUCCAUCUAGGAUGAUGUCGUCCAUCUGAUUUUGUCAUUACUAGUAUUCCAUGUUUUAUGUGAUGUUGCAAUUGCAAAGAAAUAUACUAUGUAAUUCAAGAUGACAAUGGAAGACUAGUUUUUGCUGCCUCUUGUCGCAUUGGAAGUGCUUAUUCAGUCCUAAUUGUUGAAGCUAUGGCGUUAAGAGACAACUUAAUCAAAGCAAAGGAGAAAGGCUUCACCAAUGUUGAAGUUGAAGGAGAUUCCAAGUUGGUGAUAGAUGCAGUGAAUGAACGUCUUGAAUCGCCUUGGAGAUUAAUCAAACUAGUGCAAGGCAUCAGAACAUUAGCUACUAGUUUUGAUUCUAUUACUUUUAAACAUGUAUUUAGAGAGGCGAACUUUGUUGCCGAUGUCAUAGCUAAUUAAUCUUGGGCAUUCUUGUAAUUCGUCUAUGUAUUGGAUUGAUAGGGUAUCUCAUGAGGCUUCGAGAGCCUUAUUAUUUGGCAUUGUAAACGUUGAUUGUCCUAGAUGGUUCUUAUUGUAAUUUAUUUCUCUUUUAAAAAAAUAUAUAUAUAUAUAUACCAUGCAUGCAUAUAUGUUUCUCUUGAUCAUGUCCACUAUUAUUGGUACUAAAUAGAAAAGCUAAAGAUCCCUUGCCGUUGCUCAUCAAAACGCAUUUUGCUUAAUGGCCACUCUACCACUCUACUCAUAGGGAGCACCUGUCUCUAUAAUUACUAUAUAUAGCGCUGUUGUUGUACACACGAUAAUGAGUUAAUGACUGCAAAGUUGGAAUGUGAAACCAAGAACUCUAGAUCGCAGACGCGCAACACAUUUUAUGAAAACAGAAACAUCAUUUCUGUCACUGAACUUGCUUGAUAUUCUUUAGUAAUAGAGAUGAGAGAAAUAUAAUGUGCACCAAUUAACUAAUAAUAGCAAAACAUUCAUACCAAAAAAUAGAAAAAUGAUGAUAAGAAAAAUAGAAAGACAUAGUAAUUCUCAUCUGCCUAAAUUUAAAAUUUGAGAAUUGGUGCAGUUAAUUGACACAACAAUGUAAACAAUGUGAAACCUUUGAUCGAUCACAGUACUUGCAUCACUACCUACGUUACGUACCAAUUAAGUCACUUUGUUGUUUCUUUUUCAUUCAGUUGAGGAAAACUAAAAGUGAGAAAAGGGUACGUGUAGUUCUAAGUUGUUAAGGAACCAAGUUUACAUGGCCAAGUAAAGAGGAUUAGAUAUAUCCAACUGGUUCACGUUUCAAUCAUAUCUACCAUUCCAAACUAACCAACGGUCCUCCAUAUCUAUCUAUAUCCAGUUUCUCGAUCAUCUAGAAAUUUCCUAAUUCUUAAUCAAGGCUAUAAAAGUGAGGUCCGAUCCAUUAGUUGAGAUCUCGAGUCUUCCAGUCUUCACCUAGCUAUCUGAUCAGAUUAUCGAAUUUCCUUCUCCUUAGAUAUAUUGAUCGUAGAUAUAUUCUCACUAGAAACCAAUUCAUCCGAUCACGAUGGAAUUCCGGAGACAUCCACCGCCUCCACCACCGCCGGACCCCUUUGCACCACCACCCCCUCCUCCUCCACAUCAUCAUCAUCAUCAUGGGCCGCCACCUCCUCCACGUCCUGAGUUUUAUCACCCACCACCACCACCACCGCCCCAUCACCAUCACCAUCCCCCUGGUCCUCCUUCUCCUCCUCCUCCACGACCUUUCGCUCCAGGGCCUCCACCGCCGGGUCCUCCAGGACCUCCACCGCCAUAUUUCGACCCCUACAGACCACCUCACCCUCACCAUCCUCCUCCACCUUACUAGUUCAUAAUUUUAGCUCUAUAUAUCUAUGAGGUUAAUAUAUGUAUCCUCGAAGCAAGCAACGUAGCCAGCGGCUACUAGUGGUGUAGUGCUGCAUUUCUAAUAAUAAAGAUGAACACAGACACACGUUCAUAUGUGGCCGUGUCAUCUCAUUUGUGUAACUUUGUAAGUUUGUAUGAGUUAUUAUUUUCUUUUGUUGUACCGUGUAUAUAGUAUGAUUGUAGUAAUUAAAUAAACAUAUAUAAUUUCACUAGCAAAUGGUUUUCCUAAUCUUAGUUCCUAUUUUCUCAACACAUAUAUGGAGUAAGAUUUUUACAUCAUCAAAGAAAAAUUGGCGUCUCCUACUUAAUUAGUAUGGUUACUUAGGAGACAAUUGUAUAUGUCUCACAUUUCACAAUAUAAACAGCUCACUUCUCAAUAUGAGAAAUGAAUGUAACGAAAAGCUAAAAAAUAAAAAAAUAAAUAGGAAUUUUCUCAUUCAUUUUGCUUCCAUGUCUGUUGAUGAUGAAUCUGCAAAUAUCCUCUCUCUUGCCAACUUUGCCUGCAGAAUAUAAGAAAAGAUAUCAAUAUACAUGUAAGUUAUCAAUAUGUUCUCUACUAAAGAUAUCUAUACAAUUAUAUAUAUUUCGUUCAACCUUAGUUUGCAUCUGGUAAUUUUCACAACUAGUUAGUAAACUACAGAAUAAUUCUCAUUUGCAAGAUUCAAUUAUAUUUUAUUUCUCUAUGGGGCUAGGACUUGGAUAUUUUACUAGGAACAAAUUUGGGUUUCGAUGUAGGAACUUGUUGAAAUCUCAUGUGAGGAAACCCAAGUCUAUCGUACUAAUUCUACAACUAGGGUAAUAAAUUCAUUUGGAGUAAUGUUAAGAUGUAGGGCUAGUUUGGUAUUGUUGUGACUUUAAAAAAAAAAAACUGUUGUUGAUGUACUGUGAAAAUAAUCAGCUGUGAAUUAAAACAGUUUUAUGUUUGGUAAAUAUUAGUUUUAAAAGUGCUGUCAAGAUAAAAUUUAUUAAUUUAUAGUGUUUUUAGUGACAGCUGUUUUUAAAAGUAACAUUCAGAUUGUUUUUAAAAGCUGUUGUUAGUGACCUGUAACUACUUUUAAUUAGGCCUUACAUUCAUUGUUAGUUUUUGUGAAAUUUUUUUGUAUGUAAUAUGUGAGUUUAAUUAUGGAAAAUGCAUUGGUUGAUAAGUUCAAAAUUAAUUAAAAUAAAAUUAUAUAUGAACCUGUUUAG